rnacentral:rRNA from 1 species
UGGCGGACGGGUGAGUAAUGUCUGGGAAACUGCCCGAUGGAGGGGGAUAACUACUGGAAACGGUAGCUAAUACCGCAUAACGUCGCAAGACCAAAGAGGGGACCUUCGGGCCUCUUGCCAUCGGAUGUGCCCAGAUGGGAUUAGCUAGUAGGUGGGGUAAUGGCUCACCUAGGCGACGAUCCCUAGCUGGUCUGAGAGGAUGACCAGCCACACUGGAACUGAGACACGGUCCAG